GGUAGCCAAGUGUAGAGCGGAUAACUAUUGAAAGCAUAUAAGUAGGAAGCCCACCCCAAGAUGAGUGCUCUCUUAUUCUUACUUCCCUGAGAGCCCUAGUCGCGAACACGGCUGGGACAACGACGGGUUCUCCGUCCUUGUAGGGGAUGGAGCGACAAAAGUAUUGAGAAUCCAAGAUAAGGUCACGGCGAGACGAGCCGUUUAUCAUUACGAUAGGUGUUAAGUGGAAGUGUAGUGAUGUAUGCAGCUGAGGAAUCCUAACAGACCGAGAGAUUUGAACCU
rnacentral:ncRNA from 1 species